rnacentral:rRNA from 1 species
CCCCUAGUAACUGCGAGUGAAGCGGGAAAAGCUCAAAUUUAAAAUCUGGCGGUCUUUGACCGUCCGAGUUGUAGUCUGGAGAAGUGCUUUCCGCGCUGGACCGUGUACAAGUCUCUUGGAACAGAGCGUCAUAGAGGGUGAGAAUCCCGUCUUUGACACGGACUACCAGUGCUUUGUGAUGCGCUCUCAAAGAGUCGAGUUGUUUGGGAAUGCAGCUCAAAAUGGGUGGUAAAUUCCAUCUAAAGCUAAAUAUUGGCGAGAGACCGAUAGCGAACAAGUACCGUGAGGGAAAGAUGAAAAGCACUUUGGAAAGAGAGUUAAACAGUACGUGAAAUUGCUGAAAGGGAAACGCUUGAAGUCAGUCGCGUUGGCCAGGACUCAGCCUUGCUUUAGCUUGGUGCAUUUUCUGGUUGACGGGCCAGCAUCGAUUUUGGUUGUCGGAUAAAGGCAGGGGGAAUGUGGCAUCUUCGGAUGUGUUAUAGCCCUCAGUCACAUACGACGGCUGGGAUCGAGGACCGCAGCACGCCUUUAUGGCCGGGGUUCGCCCACGUUCGUGCUUAGGAUGCUGGCAUAAUGGCUUUAAACGACCCGUCUUGAAACACGGACCAAGGAGUCUAACAUGCCUGCGAGUGUUUGGGUGGAAAACCCGAGCGCGUAAUGAAAGUGAAAGUUGAGAUCCCUGUCGCGGGGAGCAUCGACGCCCGGACCUGACCUUCUGUGAUGGAUCUGCGGUAGAGCAUGUAUGUUGGGACCCGAAAGAUGGUGAACUAUGCCUGAAUAGGGUGAAGCCAGAGGAAACUCUGGUGGAGGCUCGUAGCGAUUCUGACGUGCAAAUCGAUCGUCAAAUUUGGGUAUAGGGGCGAAAGAC